GGGCUUCAGCAUCUCCCCAGCCGUAUACGGCUUCUGAAAUCUCUGCUCAGCAACUUGCCUCCCGGUGGCUGAGAUCCUUGAAGUUCUACCCUCAAGAGCUGGACAAAAUUCAAGGUAGAGGAGUGCUAUAGUGGACACCAUGAUGUGCCAACCAAUUACCAAGACGUUCAUUCUCCCCGACACAAGGGAUGUUGGUUGCUCAUGGUUCACAGCAGAGUCUUUCUUUAGUUAUUGACCUCUGGCAAAGGAAGCUGUUCACCCAAAGUCACACCCCUUCCCAGGCCAGCUCACAUCCCAGUGACUGUCAGUGAGGGGUAAAAAGUCGUGGACUUCUUGCAUCGAUUUGGUCCAAACUGAAGAGGCAACCCCAGAUGCAGAGCUCUCUGUAGGCUUGGCUGAGACCUCUGUUAUUUCUGCAGGGACUUUCAACCUCUCUCUUGGCCCAGUCUUGCUUCCCUUACUCUCACAGGUGUUGCUCCCAAGGGUCCUACCUAAAACCCUUCUGGACAGACACCCAUGUCAAGACUGUUUCCUGUGGAACCUGACCUCUUAACAGGGCUAUCUUUUGGUUGUUAUUUCUAAUGUAAUUUUCAGUAAUGAAUUUUUCUCAUGCAUGUGUAUGGGAGUUUCUAUACCUAGCAGUGGAAUCACCAGAUUAAAGUGAAUAUGUAUCUCCAACUUUACUGGAUAUUGCUAACUAGUUCUCAGCUGUGCACUUCACAGCUUUGUUAAUAUUUUACGUUCCCAUCCCUUUCCUGGGUUACCUGUAUGUUACAGGUAGGUUUCAAAAAAAAGCUCACUUAGUAAGUCUCCAGCUUUUGAUAGAUUAGUUCGAGAUGUUCACUCUGAUUAUUAAUAUCAUUUUUCUUAAAGAGGUCUAGUUAAAUGACUUAGAUAGUUCAAAAUCUAGAAUCAGGGGUCAGACACUUGGACUCUCAUCCCCAUUUUGCCCAGGAUCAACUCCAUGGACUAGAGAGUUAUUUAUUCUCUCUGAAGUUCAUUCUUCUCAUCUUUUCAAUAUGGCAGUUGGACUAAGAGAAUCUCGUGGGCUCCAACCACUCUGACAGUAGAUGAUUCCCAGGGUUUGAUCCCAACCCUUCGCUGCACUACUGCCUACCUUGAAGUCAUACCUUCUCUUCUUAGAAGAAGAUGAAAUCUUUUGCUUAUCAUGGUGAUUAGGGGCUUGGGGCUAGCUUAGGAUGGGAGAAUGCCCAGAAAUUGGAACCAGAUAGACUGGCAUGGAUUUCUUCAUUUGUUUUGCUAUGGCUCUCCCCUCCCCCACCAACUUCCACCCAGCUCAAAUUCUGACUGACUUCCCACUAACUUGUCUAGAGACAGUGUCCACGAAUUCUUGUUUAAUAAUUUUUAUUUUGUUAUGAUUUAUCUCACAAAGUAAGUAAUAAAGAUUUGGUUCUUUAGAAGCUAAGGUUUUAGAUGGAUCAAUAUUUAUCGAAUAAAUAUUUAUUGAUACUA